CUAGAACUUGUUUUCACUCACAGAACUUCAACUGUGCCCUUCAGUUAUAAGGUGCAGGAGCAUUUUAGAGGGAUCUAUUUCUCAGUUUUGUUUUGUUUUUUUUCAGACAGAGCCUUGCGUAGUUCAGUCUGACUUCAAAUCACCAUCUAGCCAAGGACAACUUCGUACCUCUAACUUUCUUCCCUACCUCCCAAGUGACCGAUUACAAGAAUUUACCACCUUGCCAGAUUUAUGCCAUGCUUGGGAAAGAACUCAGGACUUCAUGCACAUGAGGUGCCUGGAUCCUCCCAACUUGCUGCUGAACAAGACGUGCUUCAUGGUGAACGAUCUUACUAAUUUGUUGGAUGUGAAUCAGCUAAGAAAUAUGCCUCCGAGUGGAUCUGUUUUCAGGACUUUCUGUCUCCAUGAGUGCAAGAGCCAGGUCCAGAUGCCACAUUAAGCUUCCCCUCUCCAUAGAUAGACAGAUGUGUUGGGCCCUACCUUGGUGUUUCCCUCCCCCAUCACUGAGCCUCUUAGCCUGCUAUAGCAAGAAAUUGUUUACACCCUUGGGAGCUGCUCUUAGCUCCUGAUUUGGGGCUGGGAUUUUCCAUGGCACCCUUCCUCCCCACUGAGCCUUCCUGCUUGUUGUUGUUAAGAAGUUGUUUAUGCCCCUGAUUGGGCCGGAACUUUCACCACACAGACUUUUGCUGUUUUCCUGGUUGGGGAUUUUUCACCUGCCUUGUUGUUUCUCCACAGCUUUUGCCUCGGGUAUAUAAGGAGAUCUCAGUAAAGCCUUGGUGGCACUCGCUGAAAA